ACACAUGCAAGUCGAACGAGCGAGAGAGAGCUUGCUUUCUCGAGCGAGUGGCGAACGGGUGAGUAACGCGUGAGGAACCUGCCUCAAAGAGGGGGACAACAGUUGGAAACGACUGCUAAUACCGCAUAAGCCCACGGCUCGGCAUCGAGCAGAGGGAAAAGGAGCAAUCCGCUUUGAGAUGGCCUCGCGUCCGGUUAGCUAGUUGGUGAGGUAAUGGCCCACCAAGGCAACGAUCGGUAGCCGGACUGAGAGGUUGAACGGCCACAUUGGGACUGAGACACGGCCCAGACUCCUACGGGAGGCAGCAGUGGGGAAUAUUGCACAAUGGGGGAAACCCUGAUGCAGCGACGCCGCGUGGAGGAAGAAGGUCUUCGGAUUGUAAACUCCUGUUGUUGAGGAAGAUAAUGACGGUACUCAACAAGGAAGUGACGGCUAACUACGUGCCAGCAGCCGCGGUAAAACGUAGGUCACAAGCGUUGUCCGGAAUUACUGGGUGUAAAGGGAGCGCAGGCGGGAAGACAAGUUGGAAGUGAAAUCUAUGGGCUCAACCCAUAAACUGCUUUCAAAACUGUUUUUCUUGAGUAGUGCAGAGGUAGGCGGAAUUCCCGGUGUAGCGGUGGAAUGCGUAGAUAUCGGGAGGAACACCAGUGGCGAAGGCGGCCUACUGGGCACCAACUGACGCUGAGGCUCGAAAGUGUGGGUAGCAAACAGGAUUAGAUACCCUGGUAGUCCACACCGUAAACGAUGAUUACUAGGUGUUGGAGGAUUGACCCCUUCAGUGCCGCAGUUAACACAAUAAGUAAUCCACCUGGGGAGUACGACCGCA
rnacentral:rRNA from 1 species